UUCGAUUCUCGACAAUAUCCCUUCCCACCUCGACGGCCGACCGCCGCCGCCUCACCGCCGCGCAAAAAUCCCCCCGCCGCCCCCGCACACCCGGCGACGAUGUUCCCGUGUCGCCCACUGGUGUCCCCACCGCUGCCGCGCGCCCUCGCGGCCGCGGCGCCCGUAUCCCUGCGGCGUCUGCCGUCGGCGGCGCUGUCGCUGCGUGUGGUGCGGUGCAUGGCCAAGGAGCGGAGGGUGCGGAUGGUGGCGAAGCAGAUCCAGCGGGAGCUCGCCGACAUGCUGACCCGCGACCCCGUCAUGCAGCGCGCCGUCCUCCCCGAGGCCGCCCUCGGCGCCGACCGCUACCUCUCCUCCCUCACCACCAUCGCCGACGUCGAGCUCUCCAACGAUCUGCAGGUCUGCAAGGUGUAUGUGUCCGUGUUUGGGGACGAGAGGGGCAAGAAGGUCGCCAUGGCUGGACUCAAGGACAAGACCAAGUAUGUCAGGAGCCAGAUAGGCAAGCGGAUGAAGCUGCGUCUCACGCCUGAGAUACGCUUCAUCGAAGACGAGUCCAUGGAGCGUGGAAGCAGGAUUCUUACUAUACUGGACAAACUAAAGGAGGAAAGGGAGCAGCGAGAAGGAAAUGAUGUAGAGGAAGAUGGAGAGGCUUCAGAUCUAGCAGAAGAAGAAGAUGGUGACUGGGAUGGAGAUGAGCCAGAUGAGGAGGACAUAAUUUACGUAAAAUAGCCCAUUACGUCUUUUAGAAGCUUGAUCACCACUCGUUUCUAACUUCAGAACUCAUGAGUUCCCUUAGAAGUUAGUUACAUGCUGAUGAGAACUCUGCGGACACCUUGUUGGUAUCACACACAACACUUGAAGAGCUGUACCGAUGUAUCUGCGUUGCCAACUAGAAGCAGGACAUAUCCUUUCUCUGAAGGCUAGUCAGCCCGCCGGAUAUCUAAAGCAGAAUUUCGAGGGCAUAUUAUCACAUUAUGUUCACUAGGAUCAGCAUCUGACCAUCAAUGAGAGACAGUUUCACCGAUGUUCAUCCUUGGAUGUAUGCUAACCGGUCCUUGUUAUGUGCAGCUGGUGUGUAUGUUGAUCUUACCAAACAACGGAGGCACAUGCUUUUCAGCUUUCAUUUUCUAUCUGGUUUCGGAACAGUCUUGUUCAUCUUUCCUGAAAUCGUUUUGUAGUACAAUAGUAUGACUAUGAUCUAGUGAUAAAGUGUACCUUUAAUUGUUCUUUGUUAAA